AAUUCAAUCACUUAUCAAAAACGUAUCGAAAUUUGAUUCAAAAAAAAGAAGUAUAAGAUAAAAUCUUACCGCAGUAUUAUCGAUAUCAUUGCAGAGUGAUAAGCCGAGUGUCAGGGGAUUCUCUAACUUAAUGACCUGUAAAUAAGAACCAUAUAAUAUUAAUAUGUAAUCACCAAACAGUACGCUGCUAUAUCUUGUAAGAGCAGAACGUCUCAGUGUCAUUACGUCUGCUUUUUUAUUGCAUUUUUAUAACUCGGGAUAAAAAAUUACUCACAAUAAUUCUUAACUUUCAUGGAAGCUAUUAUUUAUGUUAGGAUAAAUUGUAUGACAUUACUGCAUACAUUCAUAUCAGAUUAAAAUUCUAACUGAUAUUAUAAAUUAUAUUUCCAACGCGUUUUAUAUAUACUGCAAAUUAAAUAUGGAUAUACUAAAGCUGGCAUUGGUGCCGCUGGCUUUAACUGUGGGUCUCACUUAUCUCAACGUUAAAAAAAACUCUUACAGUCGAAGAGAGAGGCGUGUGCAUAAGCAUAAAUCUGUUUCUGAAUUCUGUACACGGAAUGACUGUUCAAGGCCAGGUUCCCACAAACAUACAGUCCUAAAUGAUCAAGAACGUGUACAUUGAUGCAGUACAACACACGCGGUCUGGGAAAAUAGGUGGCCGUAAGGAAAUAUCUAUAGAGAAUCAAUACUUGGUCAGCUUGGGUUAAUAGAUGUCCCGCGUGUAGAGCUUCCAUAUUGGAGUUAGUCUUGUCAGACACAGAUAACGUCGGGGUGGAAAGGGACACUAAAUAUAAUAAAGGUUUCAUAUCACUAGCUUUACGGAAGACAGCGUUAUUAUGGCUGAGGAUACUGGGUUGUUGGAUUCAUGUAUACUAAAUAUAUAUAUAUACUUUUUGUGUACCCAAUGUUUUAAGUCUCAUUUAUUAUUAAAUGUAAAAUAUCGUUUCAGUCUGAUAUAUGUGACCAGUGUCGUCUAUUGGGACAUAUACUUAUAUUGAUUGAGAAAAUUGGGCUGUGCCCUUAAUAAUCCACUAAAAAAAUGAACUCAACCCUGAUUGAAUCAGUUACAAGGGCAAAUAUAUUUUAUAGAUUUGUUACACCAAAAUUAUAUAAAGAUUUUCUUCCCUUAUAAAAAAAAUAUAAAUACUUCUUGUAUUUAUAUUUUAUUCAAUUAUUUUGACGAAAUUGAUUGUUUUUUUUAAUUCUCAUAAUAUAAAAUUGUUCCUCAAGCAAAACUAGCAGUCAUAAUUUGUUUAAAUUAAAAAUAUUAGAAUGAAACGAGAAAAAUAUUUUUAAAAAUACAAAAUUUGUGAGUUCGGAAAUAAAAAUGUUUUUCAAUUAUUUUUUUUAAAACCUUUUUAAAUCGCUAGAUUUGAAAGUAUAACAAAACAACAUCACGCAAUUGAUAUUUUUUCAAGACGGCCUAAAUCGACAUUUUUUUUUUCAAAACUGUAGUUAUCCUGUGUUGUAUAUUCUAUAAAACAAGAUAUUGUACCUGAAAAAUACGUCGCGUAUAUUUUUGUCUAUUUUUUAUUUUAAAAAUUAAAAUUAAAAAAAUAUAUAAAAUAUCAAACGUAACAUGUGUAAUGUGCAUCUACUAAUUUAUUAAAUUUUAAGUAAAUAAAUUGUUCUUAAGUUAA